GCAUUAUUUUAUUGCGUGUAUUUAAUGUACAUGGGUUAUAUAAUGUGAGUUCAUAAAUAAACCCCAAAUUUCCUUUGUAUAGUAGCAGUAACACAUUUAUAUUACAUUAUGAAAAUUAUAGCGUCCAAACCAAGCCUUAAAUAACUUGUUGCUGAGAUUUUCUUCCUUGUCCCAAACUGAGUGUCACAUUAGUACAUGAACAGUGGACAGAAGCUAGUUUACGUAACUUUCAAAUGGCUAAAAUAUAGGCAAUGAUUUCAAAACCAAUGGCCUGAUGGUGGGUUGUUCAACUACCCUUGAUUAACCAAUGAGUUCUUCCUUUGCACCAUGAGCUCCAACAUUGUGUAAUGCAAAUGUCCAGUUCAUAGUUCCUUUAUAAUAAAUACACCCCAUUUUCAGUUUUGUUGUUUGUUAAGUUUGAUAUUGAGAGUUCUAAGUUGCUGAGGAAUUUUGGAAGCAUACUCAUUGUGUAAGGAGUCCAAACCAAGCUCAAGAAGGUAUAGAUUUUUACUAUGGGUCUAGUUAAUUCUUGAAAAUUACUUCAAAUUCUUUGUUAAUCAAAGUGAAUUAAC
rnacentral:lncRNA from 1 species